rnacentral:misc_RNA from 1 species
GAAAUGCGAUAAGUAGUGUGAAUUGCAGAAUUCAGUGAAUCAUCGAAUCUUUGAACGCACAUUGCGCCCUUUGGUAUUCCUUAGGGCAUGCCUGUUCGAGCGUCAUCUAAACCUUCAAGCCCUGCUUGGUGUUGGGUGCCUGUCCCGCCUCCGCGCGCGGACUCACCUCAAAUCCAUUGGCGUCCCCCGCGUCGGCCACGAGCGCAGCAGAAACGCGAACUCGUGAGCCCGUCCGGGCGGCUCCCAGAAGCUACACCCACCCAGUUUGACCUCGGAUCAGGUAGGGAUACCCGCUGAACUUAAGC